rnacentral:lncRNA from 13 species
AUGGCCCGCUCGGCAAAGGGCAUUCGAGGCUUAUUUGUGUGGCACGAUCUUUACUGGGGCGGAAAACACGCGGCGGGGGAGGAGCGGGAACAGACGCAGCCCGGGGUGGAGAGCCAGGAAUGUUCCUCCCCGGCGUGGGGAGAAGAGAGGACACGGGCAGAGAAAACAGUCCCCGCCCGGCGCGGGGCGCGCAGGGCGCGCGGGGUCCGGGUCCCGGGCGGCUCCGGGCGGGGCGGAGGCUCGAGGGUUCCGGCCGCGCGGAGUCGGGGCGCAGGGAGCCUCCGACGCCGCGGGCGCGCGUGCGCGUUGCGGCCCCCACGCCCCGGCCUCGGCGGCGCCAGCCUCCGGCUCGGCGAGCGCGGCGGUGGGCGGGCCGCAAAACCCGGGCCGGAACCGAGUACGGAGCGGAAGGCGCCGCGGAGUUUGGGCGGCCGGGCGAGGAGCUGGAGAAGCCACCAGCGGGGGUACGCGCGCCCCGAAGAAAGGCCCCUCUCCCGCGUCCCCUACUAGCUCCUGGAAGCCGAGGAGCGGGGCUCGCGUUGCCGGUGCAAGAUUUCCAAUCAGGCCUGGGAGGAAAUGGAUGCAGUUAGGGCACAGCCCCGUCCCGCAAUUGCCAGGAGCCUGAAGAUCUAUGACCGACUUAAGCCAUUUCUGGACAAGUCAUAUUUUCCAGGCUUUCGUGAAAUAGUCAUUGCUCCUAUUCUAAAUCUGGAGGCGAAUGUGCAUCUAUUUCAGGGAGAAUGAAAGAUGUGAAAAGUAGCCUGGGCUCCGGGAAAUGUGGGUAAUGGGACUGGACCUGCGCCUGGGGCCCGCCCACCCGUCCUCUCCCGGGAGCCCCCCGACGUGCGCCAUUAGCAUAAGGCGCGUUAAGCGCUGCCGCAGUCCCGAAAAGGCGAAUUCGAAACGAUCACUUCUCAGGAUCUUGACUUUCACUAAGGGAAAACGUGCGUUAAAUAACAGCCAGCGAGUGCUGGCGUGGCCCUGUCAUUCCCUGGGCGUCUCUGCUGACCUCCAUUGCAGCCUGGACUACACUGGGUUCCAGUGCUGUCUUCCUAUUUCCGCUGGAGACUCCUAGCGGGUGGAUACCAAGACUAGUUGUUAUUUGUGUCUGCCCCAGCCCGCCAGGGCACACCAUAGGUGCUCAGUAGAUGCCUCCUACAAGAGUACAUAUUGGAGGUGAUCGUCAAGUGCUGCCAAGCACAGGAAAGAACAGUUAAAGCGUCGGACGGUGGUUUGUGAAAGGCCAGGCAUUUGUGCUGGAUUCUGAAGACCAGCUCUAGAUGACAGUAAAGGCCACUCCAAGUUGAGGGAACAGCACGAACAAAGCAGGGAACGUACCAUGAGUAGGAAAGUGGUGAAUCUGCACAGGGGGUUACUCAGGGGCCAGAGAAAAGGAAGCCAGGCAGCCACUGAGUACCCUGCCACGCAGGUAACAGCCAGGAAAAGCACAAAACAUGCUGCUCAGGGGUUCUGGAAUACGCACGUGCAAAUCUGUAAUAAAAAGGAAUGUGGAUAUACA